GAUGAACGCUGGCGGCGUGCUUAACACAUGCAAGUCGAGCGAAGCACUUAUGAAAGAUUCUUCGGAUGAUUUCAUUUGUGGCCGAGCGGCGGACGGGUGAGUAACGCGUGGGUAACCUGCCUCAUACAGGGGGAUAACAGUUGGAAACGACUGCUAAUACCGCAUAAGCGCACAGUACCGCAUGGUACCGUGUGAAAAACUCCGGUGGUAUGAGAUGGACCCGCGUCUGAUUAGCUAGUUGGUGGGGUAACGGCCUACCAAGGCGACGAUCAGUAGCCGACCUGAGAGGGUGACCGGCCACAUUGGGACUGAGACACGGCCCAAACUCCUACGGGAGGCAGCAGUGGGGAAUAUUGCACAAUGGGGGAAACCCUGAUGCAGCAACGCCGCGUGAGUGAAGAAGUAUUUCGGUAUGUAAAGCUCUAUCAGCAGGGAAGAAAAUGACGGUACCUGACUAAGAAGCCCCGGCUAACUACGUGCCAGCCGCCGCAGUAA
rnacentral:rRNA from 1 species